UGAGUAACGCGUGGAGUAACCUGCCCUAGAGUGGGGGACAACAGGUUGGAAACGACUGCUAAUACCGCAUAAGCCCACAGUACCGCAUGGUACUGAGGGAAAAGGAUUUAUUCGCUUUAGGAUGGACUCGCGUCCAAUUAGCUAGUUGGUGAGGUAACGGCCCACCAAGGCGACGAUUGGUAGCCGGACUGAGAGGUUGAACGGCCACAUUGGGACUGAGACACGGCCCAGACUCCUACGGGAGGCAGCAGUGGGGGAUAUUGCACAAUGGGGGAAACCCUGAUGCAGCGACGCCGCGUGGAGGAAGAAGGUUUUCGGAUUGUAAACUCCUGUCGUUAGGGACGAUAAUGACGGUACCUAACAAGAAAGCACCGGCUAACUACGUGCCAGCAGCCGCGGUAAAACGUAGGGUGCAAGCGUUGUCCGGAAUUGCUGGGUGUAAAGGGAGCGCAGGCGGGAAGACAAGUUGGAAGUGAAAACCAUGGGCUCAACCCAUGAAUUGCUUUCAAAACUGUUUUUCUUGAGUAGUGCAGAGGUAGAUGGAAUUCCCGGUGUAGCGGUGGAAUGCGUAGAUAUCGGGAGGAACACCAGUGGCGAAGGCGGUCUACUGGGCACCAACUGACGCUGAGGCUCGAAAGCAUGGGUAGCAAACAGGAUUAGAUACCCUGGUAGUCCAUGCCGUAAACGAUGAUUACUAGGUGUUGGGGGAUUGACCCCCUCAGUGCCGCAGUUAACACAAUAAGUAAUCCACCUGGGGAGUACGACCGCAAGGUUGAAACUCAAAGGAAUUGACGGGGGCC
rnacentral:rRNA from 1 species